GGCAGAUGAUGGCUCUUUCUCACGAUGGUCUGUGGAUGCUGCUGUGGGCGCUGCUGAUAAUGCCAAUGGCUUGGCUGAUGACAGAAG